UUCACCGGCUCCAACGCCACCACCGACCGCAGCAGCAACAGUCCGCGGUCUUUCAGUCCUCUCCGAGUCCGAGCGUGUCCUGGUUUCCAUAGUUACAAAAGAGCGGGAUUUUGUCUACCGUAUUUACAUUGUUUCACAGAAGCUUGCACACUGCUUUCAAACUUUUAAAACUGCAGGUAGUUUCUUUUAUACAGAAAUUACUUUUGCAGAAUUAAUGUUAUAAAAUAAUUAAUAUAUUAUAAAUAUAAAUGCAUGAACUGAAAAUGUAUGUAAAGCAUAUUGUGUAAAACAAGUAAGUUUAAGUUAUUUUGGAUGAAAGUGACUGAUGCAAAAAAAAAAAAAAAGUAUCUGUAUAGGCUGUAUAAGGGAAAAAAGCUGUUUAGUGAAGAUUGACCUUAGAAGAUCUGUACUUAUUAUCUGUCACCAUCUCAAUCCCACAGAGUUCUCCAGCUCUGGGUCAAGACCCUCAUAACGCUGUUUCCUCAGCCAGGCUGGGUCGUGCAGAUUUCUCUUGGAGAGAGAGUCUCCAGCUGCCAUCACACAAAAACAUCUUCACAUGCGUGCAGCAGCAGCAGCCAUGACGAGAUGGCAAAACAAUCAGGAUUCCAGACUAAUGGAACAGGAAGACAUUUAUUAUGGACAACUUUGGUCACACCUGGGAGAGCUGCAGCCUGCCCUGGGCUAUGAGAGGCUGUUGACAGCUUGAUUGGAGCUAUCUGUGGUGAGGACUGGAUCUGGUGCAGGGUGUUAAAGGCAAUGGGUGAUGCAGAAACCUGUCAGCAGUACAGAGGUUUGUGUCUUUAUAUUAGUCACUAUAAAGGCAUCAUUACAUUUUUGCACAGUUAAAUCACACAAAUUAUUUGUUUAUUUUUUCCUUCGCAAAAUAUCAAAGCAGUACAUUUCCUUUUAACCAAGUAAUCUCAAGUUCAUUUUAAGGGAUGUAGUCAGUCAGUUCCUCUUAUAUUCAUGCUAGAAUAACCACAGAUGUAGUUCAUUACAACUAAGUACUUGAUCAAGUUUGAAAAAACAGAAAAUGUCCAAAUAUAUUUUGCCUUUGCUCUGAACUGUACUGUAUCUUUUUUGUAUCAUUUAAAACCUCAAAAAUUUCUACUAACUUUCUUUAAAUGCCACUUUGGCAUAUAUACACUAUUAAAAAAUCUGUAAAAUUAGGCCAAAUAUAUACUGUAUAAUUUGAAGGAGUUUUUCAGUUUUUUCUGAUUUAUUUUUACAGUAUAUAUAAGAAUUUCUAAUAUAUAUAUANUUAGAAAUUCUUGGAUGGUAUGACAAAAUCAUAAUUUUAUUGUGAAAUCCAAAGAUAUUUAUAUAUAAUUAAGUAUAAUGUUUAUAUAAUAAUACUAUACUAAUAGUAAUUUAUAUUAUAAAUCUUAAUAUCUGUUCAUAAACUAUUUAUAUAAUGUCUGAUUGCAAGUUA
ensembl:lncRNA